AAUACAUUUUAAAACAAUUAAUAAUAAAAAAUAAAAUGGCAUAUUUGCAAUAAAUGUAUUGUCAAAAUUAAUUGCAGUGCAAAUUGCUAUUCAUCAAAUGACUUUUUCAAACCUUGUAAAACCAUUAACCUGCACACCUAAAUUUCCGUGGAUUUUUCAGUUCAUAUUUGACAUAAGCAAAACUUCUACAUGCCUGAGACCCACCAUUUGAUAAUGUUUUUUUUAAUACUGGUUGAAUCAUGCUUAAUGUAACUGUAUUGGUGAAAUUGUGUAUGAACUCUGGUUAUACUGAAAUUAAUUUUUCCUUAGGCAAUAUGACAAAAUCCAUGAGAAGCGGGAGGAAGUCGUGAAACUUAUAGAAGAAAAAAAUCACGAAACUAAACAGUUCAACGAAAAGAUGCACAUGCUGAAAGACAAGUGCAGCCAGCGGACACAAAAAGCCCAGGAGAUCUAUGACCGUCUGUGUUGUUCUUUGGAGCUGUACAACAGCCAUAUUGAAACCGUUGUUCUGAAGACCAAUCGUGAUAUUUCAACAAUGAAAUCCCAUUUCUAGAUUGUUGCGUGUGUGUAUGUGUGUGUGUGUAUAAAUAUAUAAUAAAAUAACUAGCAACAAA